CGGGACAUCAGCAAGACCACCGCGUGUGUGGAGCUGGUCAUCUGCGAGCAGAUGAGGAAAUAUAAAGCCCGUCUGAAGGACAUCAACACACUGGAGUUUGCCGAGAACAAAGCCAAGAGUCGGCUGACGCACAUCCGGAGAUCUCUGAAGCCAGUACUAAUUGCGGUUAGGUUUAUUGGCAUUACAAGAACGGCCCCCCCGGUAUGUAUCCACGAGUGCGUGUCCGUCCCAGUGUCAGUGUAGCGUCGUUAGCCAUGCGUGUUUAUUUGCGGCUGUUGAGGACGCUCCAGCUGAUUCUGAAAUGCUGUCGUGUGAUUGGUUGUGAGGAGCGGUCCUGUUUAUUUUGCGUUUGUCUUGUGUUAACCGCGCAUGCGGCGUGCUGCUGUGUCACUGACACGUCCUCUUCUUUCAUUUCUCCUGCAUUCGCUUCUCGUGCGUUAUUACACAGCUAAACGCAGUGAAAAAGGUAAAGCUCGGUGACUGUGUGUGUGUUAGUGUGUGUCUGUGUUAAGCUGCAGUCCAGACUUUGUGUGUUAUUCAUUCACAUGCAAGCACAAGCCAGAAACACAAUUAUAUGCCUUUUA